rnacentral:RNase_P_RNA from 1 species
GAAUUUGGUCAACAUUUUUUUAGAGGCCCCAAAUCAAGUUUGGGACAAGGAGGAAAGUCCGGACACCAUAGUGCGGCAUAGCGGGUAACGCCCGUCCACCGAAAGGUGAGGACCAGUGCAACAGAAAGCAAGUACAGUUAGGCUGUAGUGAAAUCAGGUAAACUCUAUGCGGUGAAACGUCAUGUAAACCAAUGUUUGAGGGCUGCACGCCCAAAUUGGAGGGUAGACGGUUGGAACUUUUAGGCAACUGAAAGUCUAGAUAAAUGAUAAGGAAUCCUAAUCCUAUUUAUGGGUAAGAGAUUUACAGAAUCCGGCUUAUGGCCUGCUUUUUUA